UUCAUUUUUACUUCUAUAGAUUUUUAUACUUUUUUUGUAGGUAUUCAUUCUUGAUUAUAAUUACCUUUUAUCAGUGAUUUGGUGAGGAUUUUAAAAUAUAUUUAUAUCUGGGUAGUUUACAAAGAUGGGAAAAAGUGGUGAAGUUCAUAUUUUUACAUCAUUGCAAAAUCAAUGUGAUUAUAUUCCAAAAAUUCCACAGGAGUGAGAUUGCAGGCUCAUUCUUAGUGAUUGUGUAGAAGAGAAGCUACAGAACUGCAAAGCUGCAGCAACCACAUGGGAAUAUCAGGGAAACAUCAACACCCAGGCAGAGGAUGUGGUCUGGAAAGGGGCCAGCCAGGCUGCACCACUUCUCAGGUUCAACAGCAGGGACGAGAAAGACCAAAUGGCGCCCAGGGGUCCUGCUGAAGUCAGAGGUAGAAAUCUCAGCUACAGGCUCCAGGGGACAUCCAGGAGGCCUUGAAGAGAUCCUUUCAGAUUCUUUGUGUGACUUCGCUGAACAAGGAUCUCUCCAGUGACGAUCUGACCUGAAGUCACCUCAGAAAGGUGUGUCUCUGACAUCUGAGGAAAUGGACCAGAGUCGGAAACCAGCUUGUUUCCCCCACCUCCACGUCACCUCUGAGAACUGAACCAUCAGAGUUGCUUAGUGCCUUGAUGUUGCUGAGACUGGCUUUGCGCUCAAGAUCCUCCUGCCUCAGCCUCUUGAGCCACUGGGAUUACAGAUGUGUGCCACUGUACCAGGCAACCGUGUGCUUUUAAUAUGUGGAGUUGGAUUCACUAUUUUCUUUCACAUAAAAAAGUAUAUCCCCAGAAGAGCAAAACAUCAACUAAAUGAAAAUCUCAGUUUGGCCGGGUGCUGUGGCAAACACCUGUAAUCCCAGCAGCUCCGGAGGCUGAGCUUUGCUUCCCAGAGACUGCCACCCAAAUGGAUGUGCCUUUUACUCUCUGAGAAGAUAAAUUGCAGUUGACAUCAUCAAGAGAGCACACACAGGCCUCACCAGGAGAGAGACGUAUCCUACCUUGAGCAGGAUGUACCUACCAUCCAAGUACCACUGCAACAGAGCUUCCACUGCAAGAGGAGAGAGGGGCUGGAGGGAUAAACACUGCAUUCACCCCCCCCCCAGGACACAGUUUAACUUCACAGAAACAUGAUCAACAGACAAGUAAUUAAUCAAAGCAUCGGACACGUUCCCAAUGUCAAAAAGAGUGUAACCUAUCAUCUGACUCCUGAGAAAGCAUGGAAUGAGAGAAAGCAGGGAAGUAUUGCUGGAGCUUCUCUUCUUUUCCCUUCUAUACCUGACCCAUGUGUCUUUACACCUUAAACUGUAUUCUGCAAACUUCUCUCCCUUCUUGUUUUUUCCUUCUGCCUUUCAACUCUUCCUAAAUGCCAUCUCAGGACAAAAUGUAGGCAUUUUCAUACUUUGCAAAAAAAAAAAAAAAAAAAAACCCAAAACAAAAACAAAACAAAAAAACUUCUCUCAUGUUGUCUCCAAGUCUUCCUCACUGUAUGAACUUGACCAAGUUCCUUAAUUUCACUUUUUACAUAUAAAAUGGGAAUAAUUGAAUAAAGGUUUUCUUAUAAAUGUGUUGUGAGCAUUAAGUGAGAAGAUCAACGUGAAGAAUUUAGCCUCGUUCUGAUACUUGGUAAAUGGUCAAUAAAUACUGGCUAUUGUUUGUAUCUUAGAAUCAGUAUUAAUUUCUAUCCUCAUCCCUUGAUUUGGCCAUCGAAGCCAUCAUGACAACAGCUCUCCUUCCCAUGGUUCCUGCAGCAGUGUGCACAUCCUGUGAAGUCCAGAAGCUGGAGCAGACGCCCAGAGGACAGAGCUCCGCCGUCUGGGUGGCCUUCUUCAUCUCUAGCAGAUGAACUGACUGCUCUGGAGUCCUGAGGGGAGAGAGGAGGCAGGAGUCCCUCCUUUGGCACAAAUUCUCAGGAAACUGACCACAGUUUUUACUGAGGGGUCCAAGAGGCUGAACUUCAUCACAGGUCUGUUCUGUUGUCCUUUAAGCAUAUGAUGCCACAGCCAGAAAAGUCCCCUUUACCAGCUGUAUUAUCAAAUAUCAGCUUACAUGUGUGGCUCUUCUGCAUUUCCACAUUUUCUUAGUCUAUAUCGUAGGUGAGGAAGUGAAGACUCCAAGAAGCGACCUGCCCUGCCCACCUCGCAAGUAAAAAUGGAGCUAAUACAGAAGACAGAUAUUUUAAAGUCUAUAAUGAAAAUUUUUACCCUCUGAUAUCAUGGUCUUGUCUUUUGUAUUGGUCCUGGUAGACAUAGCUCCUUUGUCACCGUUUCUUCUUUUCACCUUAUUUAUUUCCUUUUUCUUUUGGGCAGUGUUCCUUCACUUAUUGUUGACUUUGAUUAUGGAAGAUUUAGCAGUCAUCAAAGAAUGGAUUACUUAUCCUCUUUUGCCUUUUGAAUGACAGAAAGAAGUCUUCUUUAAAGACAAUAUUUUAGUGUGGAAAUAUAUAAUGUGUUCUGAAAAAGCCCAGAGAGGAUUUUGAGAUUCUGAAAUCCCUCAGACUACUUAUUUGAUACUUAUUUGAUAAUGCCCACUAAUGCACAUUUUAAAAUUGUUGAUAAGAAAUAAAUAUUGACUAAUCACGAAACGUUUCAAGAAAAACAUAUGUAUGUGGGUAAAUGUAUGCAGACGUAUAUAUCCAUAUCAUACAUUUAAAACCCAUCACAUUUGCAUACAAAAAAUACAAAUGGUUCCAUAGGAACGAUAUAAUUCUAAACUACAUCUUUCUCUUUUUGUGUUUUAAGCAAAUGUUUCCUUCUUAUUGCACUCCUGUGACUGAUUGCUUUUAUGUUUGAGAGUGCACUGCUAUGGUUUCCUGCUCAGCAUAAUAAUUUCUGUCUGUAUAUGAAAUUAUUCUGAUUGCUACCUGCAAGACUCUGUGAUUUCAAAUUGUUUGAAUUCAUGGUGCCAUUCAGAUAAUGUUCAAAAAUGCAAAUACUCACAGUAGGAAUGUCCACUAAAGUCAUUUCCCUACAUUUAUAUGGAAGCAAAAAAUAGAAGUAGAAGUAUGAUAAAAUAAAUUGAUAGAAGAGCCAAAACAGCGUGGGAGUGGCAGCUAAAAGUCAAAAUGGGAAGGUAAGAUAGUGUUCUUGAGAGUUUCCACAAAUUAAUAGUAUAACCUUGAAGGCCUCCAACUCUGAUUUUCAUGUAAAAUCAAACCGACCAAGGACCUUCUGUCAGAUUUUCAGAUUCUACUUUGGAAUAUUUUUAGAACACUCCCUAAUGUUUAUGAUUAGAGUGCCUACCUCUUGACACUCUCAGAGCCAGGCUAUUUUUAAGCAUCUGCACAGACUUUUGCUUCCUUGAGCUUCAAGACUCCUGAUUUCUGCAUGUCAAAGUCAAGCUUCCAGCUGUUUAAAUUGUAGGCAGGGGGCAGAAUUGGUCCAAUUACCAGAGGAGACAGAGCCUACGGGAGUCGGUGUAGUUAAAAAGACAGAGUGAGUGAGGAGGAGAUGGAUCAAGAAGGUAGGACCCUUGGUGUCUGUCUGCACUGAUGAGAUGAGGCACCGAACAGGGGACCCCUCUGAAGUUGAAGUGACCCGUUUUGGGAAUCAUGAAAGUAAUUCCUAAAGCAGUCAGUCUGUCCUUUUUUUGUUUUUCUAUGAAUAAAAUAGAACAGGAUCUCUCAAUGAUGGUGCUAUUGACAUUGGGGGCCAGACUAUUCAUUGUUUUCUUGAGUAUUAUAGGAUAUUUAGCAUCUGUGGCCUCUAUCCAGUAGAUGUCAGUAGUACCUCUAGUUGUCUCCAGACACUGCCAAAGGUUCCCUGGUGUCGGGUGGGGGGCAAUAUCGCUCCUGACAGAGAACAAUUGAAACAAAGUGUUGCUUGAUGCAUUUAAUCAAAGUUUUUCUAAAUCAUUGACUCCCUCAAUUUUUUUUCCUCUUGCCUUAAAAGUGAAAGUGGUAAAGUGCUCUAAUAUUUAUUACAUUUUAAAACUAUCAAAUUGUUUUUAUACAAUUAUAGAGGCCACAUUAUAAAGAUAACUAUUUUUUUCAAUGAUUCUCAUUCUCAAUAUCUUUCUCUCAAAUUUACCCCCUGCACCCUGAUUUUUCCAGAACUUCCACAGUCAGAAAAGGAGAUGCAGGUGGCUGAUGUUCCUGUAAGAUUGAAGCUGUGAUCCUGCAUUUAGGAGAAGUUAGGCUGAAUUCUAACUUGGAAAGGAGAAAAAAAGGAGGAGGUUAAUAAAAUACUGAUAUGAGCCAUUUUUGGAAAAGGCAGCCGUGUCCUCUUACGCCUGUCCUGGAGAAGAAAGAACACACAUGGAAUUAGACAUACACACUAGACUCUGCUGUGCCUAAGUGUACACUCACAAUUUUAGCAAUACAUGUAGUUAUAAAGAAUGGCCCCCAUAAGAAAUGUGAUUUGGCUGCGCAUGCCUUAAUCUCAGUGGCUUGGGAGGCUGAGACAGGAGAAUCUCAAGUUCAAAGUCAGCCUCAGCAACGAGCGAGGCGCUAAGCAACUCAGAGAGACCUCUCAAUGAAUUACAAAAUAGGGCUGGAGAAGUGUCUCAUUUGUGGAAUGAUUCUAUGUUCAACCCCUAGUACCAAAAAAAAAAAAAGAAAGAAAGAAAAAAGAAUGUGAUUUGAGGGAGAGAAGUUUCUCAAAUAUACACAAUCUUGAGAUCCCCACACCAUGAUCAAUAAUAGUCAUCCAAAGAAUCAAUGUGAAAUUGUUGAAGAACUGGAAUCCAAAAACCCUGAUUUUUAAAUUCUUCUUUAUCUUACAACAUCCUCCUUAGCCUUCUGGGUUGAUUUUAUGAUUCAUUAAGAACACUGAAUUUAAGCUCUUGAUAGCAUGCAUACUGUGCUUAGAUUUGGGGGAUAAGGUAGAUUUGAUCAUGGAAAUCUUCAAAAUGAACACCCCCACCUAACUCAUUUCAGUUUUACAUCAUGGUCUGAAGUGUCCUUUGGUUGUUGUCCUCCAUGCAUGCAUUUCCCUAGGUCCAUGAGAAAAAGAAGUGGAGCCACCAGACUUGUGUGUUCGUAUGUCCAGUGCACCAAUCCCUUUUUAAUUCCGCCUAUUAUUUCCCUUUUUAACACUAUUACUUUUGUCUUGUUCCACUAGUUGAAUCUUCCUUCCUCUGAUACCAGCAAGCGAGUUUCGCCAGAGUCUUUAGGCACCUUCUUGCUCCCUAAAUGCCUCAGACUGGUCAAUCACACCUGGUAAGCUUUUAGAAAUGUCAGAUUUUGAAGCAGGCUUGGAAAAAAGACAGCCUGUUCCUACCUCUGAAGAUUUUACGAAUUCAAUGUGUUUUAAGUAAGUCUGUUUAUCUCACUCUACCAACAUGUUCAUUUGAGUCAUCCAGAAAUUGUGGGUCUAAGGUAUGCACUUUAGAGAAUCACACUCAUAAUUUAUUGCUGGAUCAAAUCUGACUGUAAGUGAUAGAUUUCAAAGGAGAGGCUCCAGUUUCUUGUGUACUUUGGUUUUAGCAAAGAAAAUUGCCCAAAGGCUUGGACAAUACUAGUUCCCAAUAAAAACAACAACAACAAAAAUGCAGAUAUAGAGUGCAGACAAAAGAUGUAAGCAGAACAGAUUUUUACAAUAACUCUAUAUUAAAUCAUAUUCUUUAAAAACAGCUUCAUGUUGUCUAAUAGAACAUAGUUUCUCCCUCAAAUUAUAUAUAUAUAUAUAUAAAAGUACAGGGCUUUUCCUAAGAACCUUUAUUUCAAAAGACAAAGGUUUUGAAAUAUGUUAUCCCUUUUUAACCUUCAAAAUUUGAAGGUCAGUGUGUAAUUGCUCUCUGACUCGAGAUUGAGACAAUACAAACUCAGGAAACAGAACACUAUGUGCUUGAAAUUGUGAUUCAAGUACUCACAAAGUUCAGAACUCCUUUUGAGAUGUUCAAGGUCUUCCAUCACUGGGACCAGAAGGUGAAGGCAAGAAGAAUCAACAGACUUAAAUUUUUUUUUUUUUUUUUUUAGCCAAGUACAUUUGUACCAGGCUGUGCUACACAAUUUUCCCAGGCCUGCGUAAAAUGAACACACAGGACCCCUCGUUCAAAAAUUAUUGAGAAUUUGGGGACAGUAACAGCAGUUCAUAAAACCAAGGGAAGGCUCUUUAAGGAAAAGAGAGACAUUUUUUCCUACUUAUUGAGUCCCUCCUGGUUCUUGUUGACUCUGUGAAUGUCUUUAGUUGGUCAAAACAGGCUAGGGUUCAUCUUGUAUUAACAAGAAAACAUAAAGUUUGAAUGCAACCAUAAACCAGCUACAUGCUUUUAACACAAACUGUAUUGCAACAAAUUUAGAUAUCAUUAAUUGUAAGAAACACCGUUGUUUCAUGUACCAUUAAGAAUGAAAAUGUGCUUCCAAUUAAAGAUGAUAUAUCAUCCAUUCCAAGCUAAUUUGCAAAUCCAGAGGUAUUAAAAUGUGAAAAAUUGUUAAAGAUCUUAGUAUUGAUGGGAUUGUGGAUCUUAAUCGGGAGGUCUUACAAUGCUAUGAGCUGGCUGGUUUUAUCUCCAUAUACAUAAUUUCAUAAAGGCUCUUUUGUUAAUGGAAACGAGGCCCUGAGCAUUAAGAUUAUUUCCCUCACUGGGGUAGAGUGGAGGGAUUUGAAUCCAGGAGCCCUGUCAUUGUACUUAGUUCUCUUCCUACACCUGGGCUGCCUUCUCCCUUCAGCACGGUCUUUCCCUGGCACAGAAGAUCAACCCUAAAGCAGGAGAAAAUGACGGAAAACUAGAAGAGAAAGGGAAAUGUGCCUAAAAAUGUGAAUGUUUUCUUUUACAGCUUUUCAAUAUAUUGAUAGACAUGUAAUUGAAAAUGUAAUUUUAAAAUGACAUUUGAAAAGCAAUAUUUUUUUUCAUGUGAAGUUUAAUCAAUUUAUACCUCCUUUUUAAUUAGUUUCAAGCUGUUGGUGGAUAAUAUAUAUAUGUAUAUAUAUGACACAUAUAUAAAUUCAAGCUGUUGAUUAUGUACGAAUAUACACAGGCAUUUUAUAUUUGAGUGGUAUAGUUAUUUCUGUGCAAUAAACACCAUAAAAGUUUAAUAUAGACCUAUACAUAAAGUUUCUCAUUAAGAUGAAAGGCAAUUCAGGAAAGAAGAUGCAGGGUCAACUAGAUUAGGUGAGUGUUGUCAUGCCUGCCUUUAAAGUCUCGAAUGUGAGCAAUUUGGAUUGCAAAAUAAUUUUUCUGAGAUAUACACCAGAACUAUUUCUUCCCAUUUACAUCCACCUGAACAACACACACACACACACACACACACACACACACACACACACACACACACAUACAAAAUGCACAUAUUGUUUUCCAAAGCCUCUUUUUCAAUCUUAUAAUCUCAUAAUUGAAGUUCAUUGUGUGAUUGAAAACGAAAAAAUAAAAUAAAAUAAAAUAAACCAUUAAGAUUUGCACUUAAGUUGCUCUCUUUAAGAGAUGGGCUAUUAUUUCAAAGAAUCAAAUCUCCAGGUCAGCCUUUGUCUUUCAGCACAGCUCCAUCCUGCUCUGGGAGCUGAAGGGUCGGGGCUGGGUGAGGAUAUGGAGCUGUGGGAACUGGUUUCCACACACUGGAUGCUAUGCAUAGAAAGAAGGGCGGCCACUCAGUCGGGGCAGCAAGCCAGGUGGCCAGAUGCUUCUGGAAUUCAGGGGAACAAUGGCAAGUAGGCAUUGUGGUUUGUGUCUGCAUGCCAGUGACCAGAGCUCAGAUACUCAAUCCAGGGUACCAGUGCCAAAUGAAAGCCAAUAUUAAAGUUGAUCCUUUGAAAGAGGAGGGGUAAGAGGAACAGGGAUUCAGAGCAAAGCUGUUGUCACUGUGGAAUUUAAGUCUCAAAAAAAAAAACCAUGGACAAAUUCAAGUUCCAUUAUUCUGGAGAUAUUCUUCAGCCUGAAAGCCACAAGUGGUGGAAAUUUGCAAAAAGUUCAAGACAGCAGUAAACUUAAUCAGAUUUAGGUGGGAGAAAUUAAGUGUAAAUUGUGUUAGAAAAUGAACUUUAGUUCUUGAGCUUCCUCUCGUUCUCUUUUUCUUUUUGCUUUUCUUUCUCUUAGUAGAAGAAGAAAAAAAAAGGAUAUCCAUUCUAUUAUUCCUUAAUUUUCAUCUAGCAGCUCAUUAUCUCAAUCAGCACAUCACAGUUGAGUGCAUUGAUUUCUGAGGAAAAUUCCAGCAGGUUCCUGAGGCUGUUGAUGAGCUGUGGUUAAUCGCCACAGUUAGAAUUUUCUGUCAUUACUCAAAAUGGAUUAUAUGUGUUUGAUUGGCAGGAAGGUUAAAGGAAGAUACGGCAUACAGAAGUGAUGUGAUCAUAUUCUUUCGGGGCUCCUGGGGAUCUGGGAUGGGAGGCAGGAAGUCAGGGAUUGUGAAACAGUAACCACCCCAAAUCAAUUAAAGAGCAGUUCUUAUCUGAGCCAAAUGGGAUCCUGGAAUAUUAGUGUGCAUUGAAGGAGAGGACGAGGAUGCCCAGCGCUUUGGAAAAGAGCAUCUUCAGGUGAGAAAGGAGGAUGUAUCUGGUCUACAAAGGCAAGGAUCCCUCAGGGAAUAUGAAAGUCAGACAUCAUUGGCAGUGCUCAGUGGUGAUUUUGGAAAGUGGGAACACAGGGCAGACUCCCUGUGCUGAGACCCAGCUAGAGAAGAUGACUGAGAGUUUGAAUCACUGCUUACCUCUAGCUUGGUACUCUGCACUUAAUCUCUCUCUGCUUUCAGCCUCCCCAUCUGUGAAAUGAAAAGAAAUAGAAACUAAUUUACCUCCUAGGGUAUCUUUAUAGCAUAAUGGAUAAAAAGGUUUGGAAGGGACAAAUGGAGUAAUCUGAGGACAUUCUGGGCCAGAGUUAAGCUCAGUUAGAUGGAGAAUUAAAGUAUAUGAGGCCUGAAAUGAAAGAAUGCAAAUCCCCAAGUUGUAAUGCUCCACCCCCUGAAGAAGGGAAGAGAAUAUAAGAAAGCGAAUAAACUGAGAACCGAAAGAAGAGCCAAGGGCAAGGUAGGCCUUGAAAGUAUGAUAUGGUCUAAGGGUGAGUAUGAAAAAAAAAUCUCUCUAGAUCAAGGUCAGUGUGCUCUGAGGCCUUCAGGGGCAGCAGUAGGUUACCAACUAGAAAAGAAAUGUGUGUUUCUCUGCCUUUGGAAGGAAGGUGACACUAACUGAAGGGGAAAAGAGAAGUGAAAAUAAGGGUAAAGAAAUAGAAUAUAUAGAAUAUAUGCAAAUUCCAUUUAAAAAAAAAACUGCCUUGUGAGAGUGAAAAAAACAAAAACACAAAAGCUAAACUAAACCAAAAAGAAUGCACCCCCUCCCCACUCCCCAACCAAAUAGAUUGUUUGCAUUAUUACACAGUUAAGCUAAAAUGGUUAGCUGGUGGCUUCUUGCAGACACUAUCUUAAUUAGCAGUUUUUAACUUGGUCUUAGAAUACAUAGGCUGAGAUUCUGGGGAGGACCAAGUAAAACACAAUGAGUCAUGGAUCAGAACCAUCCAACUCGCCUGCAAAGGAGAUGCUCUCUCAAGGCUGCCAAAGCCUUUGGCGUAGAGGCCUGAUGUUAUAUUCGGGAGUCAGCAGGGUGGGUGGGGGAGCAGACGCCUCCCCUGUUCUUGCCGCUGUCUGGUGGAGUUGGCAGUGUUCUUCGGAUUCUAAACGAAGGAAAGGAACUGAUACUGCCUUCCUCUGCCUCUGAUAGUACCUUAAUUCCCCCAUGCUGAGCCAUGGCCCAGGGGAGCAAAGCGUAAUAAAUUACCGAUUUGGAAACUAUGCAAGAUCAAACCUUAUUUUCAAGGCAAUAGGAAUGAAAAAUAUGCUUUCAGAAUCGAGGACGACGGAUGCAGGCGUUCUCUGCAUUUCAGCAUAUGAUUAGAGCUAGUCAAGGCAAAGGCAAAUGGAACCCAAGUCACUGGCACCAUCUAUCAGGAAAUGCCACCACCAUCUUCUGUGGAGUUUUCAAAACUAGUGCUUCUCACUCAGCCACACAGGAGGAAUUUGUGGCUUCUAGGGAGGCAUCAGGCUUGUGGGAACCACACAUACAUGGCUUAUUGAAUAUUCUUAUUUGAAACCCAAGUGGAAAGACACAGCAGGAAGUAAAAUAGCCCUUGCCCCCACCUCCUGCCACCUUGCCUUUCUACACUGAUAAUUCCACCUUCCCAAGUUGGCACAGCAGGGAGGCACAUCCGGUGCAGAUGGGCAGAUACUCCAACAUCUUUGUCUGCUCCACACAUUUUCCUUCUUGGAGCCCUUUUCAGAAAGAAGAAAAACUUUCUUAGCAAUCAGGCCUUGGAUGAGGAGAAUCAGAAAUGGAAAGCUAUCCCUGCUCCUUUACAAUCUCAUCUCAGCUGAAAGGGAAAGGAAGUGGGGGGAGCUGGAUAGGUGGAGGCUCCUGGAGGGAGCCCCCGUCUAGCCUGGCAGUGCUCCCCUUUCAUCCUCCCCAGUGGAGGCAUCACCCUUCCAUCAAGAACUCAGACAGAGAGCCCUGGAAAAGUGGUUUUUGGACACAUCUUCCUACCUGUCACCAAAGGCUCAUCUCUUCCAUGACAUAUGGAUAUUUUAAGACCUGCAAGUAAAUAUGCUAGGCAAUAAAAGGACCGUUUGUAAGCUCAGAGUGGCAAGUGGAAAAUUCUGGGGGAUUUUCAAAGCCCUUACAUUGAAGGAGAUGGGAACAUACAAUCAAUCUUUCUUCGUUUGAGAAAGAAAGAACCAAUACCAUUUUCUGGGAAAAUGGCGCUCACUUCCCAAUUGGCUACAUCCUAUAUGCCCCCGCUGCCCGGACCAGCCACCUUCUUUUUCUGUGAAAUAUAUGUGCAUACAGGUUUCCCUGGAAGUGAGCCCUAAGAUUGAAUUUGAUGUUGCUUAUUUGAAAUGAUUUAAGAUAACUAUAUUUUUUUUGUGAACUUUGAAUGCUUCAAUUGGGAAAAACCGUUCAUAUACAGAUAUAGGCACAGUUAAUGGCAUUCUUGACUUCAAAAAACAAGUCUUCCUUCAGUCGAGGCCCCUGAAAAUGGCAUUUGUAAAUGAUGAAUUUGUGUAUAAAGGAACAAUUUCCUGUAAAUCAAUGUACCUUACUUUAGAUUUCAGUUUAAUAUCAAAAAGCCCCUCUCCCUGGAAAACAAACAGCAUACAAAUUUUCUCUGAUCUUCCUAGCAAAAGGCCAUAUGUUAUUUGGGGUGAUUUGUCUAGGCUUUCAUUCCUUUUUCAUCGGAAACCUGUAUUUCACAAUAUUGUUCCAAUUACACUAAUACAGCCGAAUAAAUCUGGAAUAUCUGUGUUGAUAAUAAAUGGAUACAGACUGAUUCUUUGGGCAUUUUCUUUAUAGGAGGCAUUCUAAUUGACAGAUGCUUUUAAUGAUGACAUUGCCAUAAAAUGGCUUGGUUUUUCCAGUUUCAGACCUUCUCAGAGCUAUUUCAGCUAUUAGAAGAAGAAAAAUAAACAAGGGCUGCUUACCAUGACUGAGGACAAACACGAUGGAACCAAUCUACAGAAAAUCCUCUUUCAAGCAGCAAGUUGCAGCAGUCUCCCUUUUUAGGCGUAUUAAACUAGCAGGUUUUGGAUCGCUUUGAGAGAGUAUUUGUAAAAUUGUUGUAUGAGUCUGUUCAUCGUUUUACAAAGAAUACGGGCAAAAACAUUUUCUUACCUAAUGGCUUUUUGUGCUUUCAGAAAUCAAAUUCCUGACUCCAUAAAAUUUAGGCAUUAGGGAGGAACAUUGUCGUUUCCUGCCUCUUGGGAAUAUCUGAACCAAUUCAGAGGAGAAUGGAAUGCACCAAAGAGACCAUUUUGACUUCGGAGCACUUAAUUACAUCCGAGGAGCUGCAGGUUUUUUUUUAUUUUUUUCAAAGUUCCCAGAGGGGUGGAGAGCAGUAAGGAUAUUGGAAUCAGUACAUGGAGUGCUCACUAAGUGCAGAUGACUUAGCACAGAGGUGCUUUCCAUUUGUUAGCAGAGAACAGGACAAGGUCAGCCAAGAAGUGCAACGGCUAGUCCUCAAGUCCACGCUUUCACCUGGCAUGGUGGUGAUUUCCCGGGAAUUUUAUAUAGAAAAAAACACCUCUCUCUUCUAAAGAACAUAAAUAGGACGGCAGCUCAGACUAGGAUUCUGAAACUCAUUUCUUUAAUAUCUUCUUCUUGCCAAAAGGUCUUAUUCCAUGACUAUUUAUGUGACACUUGGCAAGUUGUUUUAUUUGGUUCUCAUUUUGCCUCCAAUAAAGUGAUGAUCAUAUUUUUUUGCCCUAAAUAAUCUCAAGAGGGUCUUAGAAGCAUAACUACAAUCAUUUAUAUAAAUUAGUUUUUCUUCUUGUGUUAAAAUAAAUAAAUAUAAAAUACUUUAUAUGAUUCUUAUUUUUAUUUUCAGUAAUGAGCCCCAAGACAGCCAUACGUAGUAUUGUUUAUAGAGCAUUUUUAUAUGCUUUAUACUAACAUUUUAUACUAACCUUUGUAAGUAUUUACAAAAACACUAAAACAUAAACCAGAUAGAUUUUUCCAUUUCACAAAUAAAGUAAUAAAGGACCAAAAUGAUUUAUUUUAGGUCACACAAUCCAGGGAAGAGGACUUAAGAUCCAUGAUUUAGGAUAAAUUUUCAACAAUCUUCAUUUCUCUUACGUGCCAGUUUUAUCAGAGCACUAAAUCUGUCUGUACUUCCUGAAUCAUGCUGAUGAAAAACUUAAUAUUUUUCUGUUUUUCAAGUAUUAAAAUUUUAAUGUAGAAGUAAAACCAUAACGAGUGUAUUGGGUUGCAAAUUUCGGUGUGAAGAAUUGGACAACAUGCUAAAACUCAAACCUUGCUACCUUAUAAACAAGCUGACUCAAUAGGUAGGGAAUUUCUAUUUCCAAAUUUAUAAUGGAAAGAAGUAUUAAUAUUCAAGUGUUUAGUCUGUAGAGACCUUACUGAAUUUUUCUUCCCAGUUUACUCUUUAAUAGUUCUUCAGAGUCUUCUUGUAUAACAUAUUCUCACUCCUCUGGCCUCAAGUUUGAGUCCCAUGGUAGACCCCUCAUCAGUCUCCUGGGGCCAGUCAGAAUGUCUUCCCAGGUGUCACGGACAAAGAACGGAUUCAGUCCUCCAGUCCUCUCCAUUGACUGGUCGGUAGUAUAUGUAUUUCUGGGGCUAUGGAUGUGACCACAUGAAUUCCAGAGCAGCAGACACUGUGAGAGAAAUACAGAGAGGGAAGGGAAGGAGAGAAGGAGAUAAGGAGAGAGAGAAAGAGGUGUGUGAAGUAUCUGAAGUGUUUGAAGUAGAGCCUUGGAAGAAGAGAGAACCAGCCGGAGUCGUAUGGAUUUCUCCUUCCUAAUUCCAGAGCCCUGCUUGCCCUUGGGUUCGGGGAUGCAGCCCUGAGCCCAGUUCCAUUGUGCUUCAGAUUACCUUUCAGUCCAAAUGGAACAAUCAUUGAAAGCAAAGGCCUUCUCAGGCACAGCAUUGGACACCAGCUCUUUAACCCAUGCCAUGUGUCAUAGACACAGUGAAGCACUGGUACAAUCAUGUGGAGUUCAGAGUGGAAAUCACGUGGAGGAAAUGCGGUCUGGUGGUUAGAGUGGCAGACUCAAAAACGUCGGGAGCUUUGUUUCUGCUUUUGAUACCGCCACCAACUCUGGGGACUUGCCUGGUCCUUGGCUUUCUGCUGUCACCCCCAGAGCUCAAGAGAUCAGACAACUCUUCAGAUGAACAUAGCUUCUUAAACCCUGGGUUCUGAUAGUAGAGGCUGCCCUUACCGUGGAGAAGUCGUAUGCUGACGUAGAGGAAAAGGUUCAUUUCACAGUUGGCCUGCACUCCCUUGUCUGCAAAAUCGAGGUGAGUGUACAAAGUCAGGCUUGACGGGGCUAGUGGGAGUCAAAGGUUACCUGCAUUUUAUUUGGGGAUGUAGUUACCAGCUCCACACAGGAGAAAGCAAUACUGAGGAAGGAGGGGUGGUCUGACAGUUUUUUCUUGGCCUUUGGAUGAGGGCAACUGCUAUACUUCCUUCCCUUCUGCUUCCAUUUAUCUUCCAGAACUAUGAGGUGGUGGUACCCUUUAGUCCCAACUUCUCUGUGCUUCCCUUUAGGAUGUUCCCAUUGGCUCAAAAAAACAAUUGUGGGCAUUCCUAUUUACAGAUGACAUGAUUGUCUGUGGAGAGAAUCCUCCCCACACUGAAACAUUUGGGCAAACAUGAAACCAAAUGAGUUCAGAAUGUGUGCGCGGAAAGUCAACAAAUGGUGUGAAAAGAAAUAAAAGAAUGCUGCUCCCCGCUCCCUGCAAAAGGAAAUAAAUCAGAGAUGAUCUAGAUGAGUGGAGAGACACAGAGCCAUAGAAUUGAAAUUUUAAUAUAGUAAAGAUGUCUGUUCUAAAUUAAUCUAUAGCUUAUGGUAAUUCCUUUCAAAAUACCAGCAAAGUUUUGUCAUACACGUAGACAACCUAAUUUUAAAUUUUGUGGGGAGAGAUAUAAACCCUAGAAUAGCCAAAAUAAUCUUGAGGGGGGAAAAAAAAAAGAAUGAAGAGAGAGGAAUCAUUCUACCCCAAAUGAAGGCUUAUUGUAGAGGUAGAGUGUUAUUGUUUAGAUGUGAGGUGUCACCCCAAAACGCGUGUGUGAGGCAACUGCAAGAAAGCUGAGAGGUGAAAUGUCUGGGUUAUGAGUCUUAACCUACUAGAGUGUGUUAAUUCCCUGAUAAGGACUAACCGGCGGUAACCAUAGGCAGGCAGGGAGUGGCUGAAGGAGGUGGGUCCCCGGGGUCAAGCCUUUGGGGUACUUAUUUUGGCCUUGUUGAGAGGAGCUCUCUCUCUGCCUCUUGGUGAUCCUGUCUUGACCUGCUUUCCUCUUCCACACUCUUCUGCCAUGAUGAUCUCCCUCCCCUUCAGCUCUGAGGAAUGGAGCCAGCUAUCUACGGAUGGAGACCUAUGAAACUGACAUUUGUGAUUUUUUUUGGAUCCACUUGGAUAAUUCAGGAUACCCUCUUCCUCUCAAGAUCCUCAGUCACAUCUGCAAGAAACAGCAAGAUUAAGCUGGGAUGAGAGGAGGAACAAAGUGGGUUAUCAAAAGGCAACAUGAAGGAUGCUUGUAGUGAUGGAGCUGUUCUUCACCUUGACUAUGAUGGUGCAUAUGCAAAUCUACCUUUGGAUAAAAUUGCAUAGAUCCAGACACACACACACACACACACACACACACACACACACACACACAACAUAUAAA